CAACAAUUGACCUCUUCCUACCUCUCCAUUGAACACCGAUUUCCCUUCGUUAUUUACCACUUGAACCCUCCCUUUCCCUCUCGUUACGUACAUCACACCGUUCGAAUUCAUGUUCCAAUGCGGCACAAAUAUACCAUCCUGCACAUUACCAACAAAUUCAAUUAUAAAUAAAUUAAAAUGUUAUUAUUUAAAAUUUGUUAGUUACUCUAACUACCUUGUAAAGGUUAACCCAUUGGGCACUAAGAUGGAGAGAUUUAAGAACUGGGAGAGUCAAACUGUUGGCUGUGGUUAUACGACCGGCUCUUGGGUUAAAA
rnacentral:lncRNA from 1 species